CACCGACCACCGUCCAUCCCCAAACCUUAACCCUCUUUCACCUUUCACCCUGAUCUAUCUCUACCAGUGAUCUCUUCCUUUUUUUCCCUUCCCUUUGAUCUUGCGGUGCUAGCGCAGAUCAAAACCCUAACCCCAUUACACGUCGUUCUCCUCUCGUCGGUUCUCCUGAUUUCCGUUGUUGCUUUGAUGGCGUGGAUCA
rnacentral:lncRNA from 1 species